UGUGCCCAGCGCUGAAUAAACAUACCUACUUUACAAUCUAUCAGAUUGUGGAGUCUGUUUUCCGCACGUCAGUUUUGGCGAGCCAGGCAGGAGACUCUCUGCUCGACUACGGGAUCGACUGCGGGGCGGACUCUCCCAGGCGCGCCCCGAGCACUUUCCUCGGAGGAGCCUCCGCUACCAGCCGCUCACCGUGGGGGGCAGACAAGGACUUCCUGAAGCCGCGGACCAAACGUCUCUUACAGAGAAAACCUUGGAGCCACAGUGGGAAGGGCCAUUCCAGGUGCUGCUCACGACGUUUACAGCCAUCAAGAUUAGGGAAUACUCGGCCUGGAUACAUCACACCCGAGUAAAGAAAGCCCAUAAAUCCCCAUGGAAAGUUACCCAAGUUCGGCCAGGAAGAUUACGCUUCUCACGAUAAGUCUGAUAAUCAUUUUUCCUCUAAUGCAUAGUCGAAGGUUCAGUGAAUGGCCAUGGUCCCAGGCUUACAUUGGGCAUACUAAUAAGACUAGAAAUGUGAGCAACCACACGUUGGCUACUAUAGUUAUGCAGGGGAGAAAUGUGCCCACAAAAGAAGAAUGGGAUGCCUAUCCAGGAGAACCACAAUUGCAGGGAACAUUGGGACAAGAAAUGAAAAUUCAGAUGCAGAGCAUUUAAUAGCUCUACUUACUGGGCAGGAAAACAAAGGCUGUUUGGGACAAAGCCACCAAUUUUGAAAGGAGAUUCCAAUCUUGGUGGACUAUGGUGAAUUUUACUUAUGACCCCACUACUAACAUAGCUACUGCCUUUGUGCUCACUAUACAUAAUGCCACAGUUUAUGUAAUCCACCCCAUCAUU